CCCAGACUCCUACGGGAGGCAGCAGUGGGGGAUAUUGCACAAUGGGGGAAACCCUGAUGCAGCGACGCCGCGUGGGCGAAGAAGUAUUUCGGUAUGUAAAGCCCUAUCAGCAGGGAAGAAGAAAUGACGGUACCUGAGUAAGAAGCACCGGCUAAAUACGUGCCAGCAGCCGCGGUAAUACGUAUGGUGCAAGCGUUAUCCGGAUUUACUGGGUGUAAAGGGGGCGCAGACGGCAGCGCAAGCCAGAAGUGAAAGCCCGGGGCCCAACCCCGGGACUGCUCUUGGAACUGCGCGGCUGGAGUGCAGGAGGGGCAGGCGGAAUUCCUGGUGUAGCGGUGAAAUGCGUAGGUAUCAGGAGGAACACCGGCGGCGAAGGCGGCCUGCUGGACCGCGACUGACGUUGAGGCUCGAAAGCGUGGGGAGCAAACAGGAUUAGAUACCCCGGUAGA
rnacentral:rRNA from 1 species